rnacentral:rRNA from 1 species
CGGACCUCAGAUCAGGCAAGACCACCCGCUGAGUUUAAGCAUAUCACUAAGCGGAGGAAAAGAAACUAACAAGGAUUUCCCUAGUAACGGCGAGCGAACCGGA